rnacentral:lncRNA from 1 species
CUCCCCACCACGGACUUCGGAGAAUCCCUCGAUCUGAAGCAACCUGGUGCGCGAGCCACCGAGCAGCCGCUGACCCAGACUGGAGAGGUUCAGCUCGAACGCCAGGUCUCGAACUUGCGUCAGAGCGGCCACUUUCACUGACAUGACGACGUGGCCAUUCGCACCGUUUUUGAAAAUUACGACAAGCGCUUGGUUCCGCACACACAAAAAUAAAGUCUGAAAACACCGCAGGCCAGAAGGCCAGAAGACGACGACGAUGGCGACGUGUAACGCCCAUGACGUGCAAGAUGUCUUACACUUCACGUACCACGACUCGAACUAAUAAGUGUUUCCGGGGUACGUCCUGGGUAGCUUGAGGGCCGGAGGAAUGCUUUUGCUGGUGUACGAAUGGUUAAGAGCUUCGAAAUAAAGUUACGGUGUGUGGAA